AGAAAACAAAUCUCAUCCAUGCCCAACAGAGUGUCUAUUCCGUGUUGAUAUUGUAAAUAAAUGGAAAGAGUCUUCAACUGUUUCAGUGAUGUCCAGAUGUUUAGAUAAUAUCAAGAUGUCCGGUACGGCCUUACUGGGGAGAAGAGCAUUGUCUUUAAGCCAAUAUACUUUGUUUUUGGAUCUUCCGGAGAUUCCUUUGUGAAAAAAAAAAGAAUAUAAUUCUUUUGGUUCAAUGGAAAAUUAGCUCAGAAGUCCAGUGAGAAAGUGUUGAAGGUUUCAAUGAAACCAUCACAAAACAAAACAGUUCUGCUUAUGUCUCUGAAAGCUGGCGUCGAACUGAAUCUAACCGCAUCUUGACACAUCUUUUUAACGGUACCGUUUAUCUUUAAGCUUAUGUUUAAGUUCUUGAUUAUGAAGAGUUGAUGGUUGCUCUGUUUUUUAUAAUGCUUAUGAUCCAGCAGUAGAAGAGCAAUCAGUCAUUUGAGAAUUAAUCGCGUAGGGCAGAAAAGAAUGGCAUGUGAAAGAAUCUUCAUUGUUAAAACCAGGUCACCUUCUACAUUCCUGGGCGUGACAAGUCAGAUAAUAGGGAUACCAAGAGCUUGCCAUGUGUCUCUCUAAGGUAGUUUUGUUGCUUCAUGAAUUGGUCUAAACAAGCAGAAGAAGAAGGCUAAGGAAACCGAGCGUUAUCUUCUGGUUGGACACAGAAGUGCUUGGAAUGCAUUGGAUCGCUUGGUGCAAGCAAUUUUUAUGUCUGAUAAACAAGAGGAGAAGAUGGUGGUCAAGUAAAGUGAUGGAAGAUCUAAAUCCAUUGAUGGAGCUAGAAUAGGAGGAAGCUUAAUGCUUGGAUCAACAAGUUCUGCAACCAAGUCUCCUCCCAUAAGUGUAGACAAGACGAUCAGUUUUUAUGUUUUUUUUUUCAUUUAUUAUUUGAUCUCAAUAGUCCAAAAACUAAAGUUGAUAGUGACAAAGUCUUUUGUAUUUCUCAUUCAGUAUAAAUAAAAUUUUCAAAUUUCU